rfam:Ostreococcus tauri mitochondrion, complete genome.
GGUUAGAUAACAUAAUGGUAAUGUAUGAGAUUGCAAAUCUUAUAAUGACGGUUCAAUUCCGUCUCUAACCU